rnacentral:lncRNA from 1 species
GCCCUCACCAGGGACCCCCGAGUGCAUCUCUCUCCUCUCCAGGCCUCUGUUUCUCCAUCUGUGCAACCACAGUGUUGGACAUGGUAGUCCCAAGUGUCUGCUCGUAACUUUGCCCUCUCUGUGCCCCCAGGUCAGGGCUGCGAUAAGACCCGGUCACGGGUGACCCUGCAGGAGUGGAAUGAUCCUCUUGACCAUGACCUUUGAGGCCCAGCUCAUCUACCGGCACCUGCUGGACGUGGAGGCCAUGCUGUGGAUCAGCAUUAACAAGGACUUCAAGGUACCCAAUGCCUGUUUAUUCACCAUCAACAAAGAAGACCACACACUGGGAAACAUCAUUAAAUCACAACUCCUUAAGGACCCG